GUGGAUACUGUGGCCGCUUCUAGCAGAGCGCCGAUGCGCAUAUACACCCGCAGAGGAGAAACCUAUAUAAAAUACAGGCGGAGAUGUACAUAUACACCCACAGAGUAGAGACCCGUAGAAAUGAGGUACCGACUGGUCGGACGUUUAUUUUGCAUGUUCUCAUCCACGCUUAUGAAUAGUUGAACAAUGAUGUCUAGCAUGUCCAAAAUGAGAAUACGCGGCCUGAUGCGCGUGCUGCUGGACAUAACCAUCUAAUUGGUUCUCCUCAACAUCUCUCAUCCUGGAUCACUGUAUGUAUUGACUUUGUCUAAAUAUCUGUUUGGUUGUCUACUCGGUAGAGACACGGAUUACAUGUGUAUAUAUUGACUUUGUCUAAAUAUCUGUUUGGUUGUCUACUCGGUAGAGACACGGGUUACAUGUACGGAUGCAAAACAGUCUAUUUUAAGGUAAUUUGACGGUAUCGGCUCGUACGCAGAAAACUAAUGUAUCCUAUCGACCAGGCUUGGGCGAAGCUGGCUGCCCACGCGCAGCGAACCAAUCACCCCGAGCCUAACCCUAUAAGUAAACGUAUCAUUACGAUUAGAGAGGUUUGAACAUUGAGUGAGCCACUCAUUAUAUAACCAAAUUAAUAGUUUGGCAGUGCAAUCGAACGUUUCUACUAUUUAGUGCCGAUGGAAGGGUAUGACAAUACAGCACGAAUUCGGAAAAGAAAAAGGGAUCUCGGAAAAGGAAAGAGAUCAUGGAAUGUCCACUUGCCACUUGGCCACAUGUAAGUUGUAGGCUAUAUAUUGACACG
rnacentral:lncRNA from 7 species